UGAGCUGUCAAAAUAUUUUGAAGUAAUAAUUUGGCAUCUAUUAAGAUCCUAUCUUCAAAAAUCUUCUUUUCAGUGAACGCAGAGCAAGGAAGACAAGGCAAACCAAUGUGAAAACAUUCACUUUAUACCAUUUUAUUUCAGCUUCCAGGCUAAGGGCUGUGAUACACUGGCACGUGCCGCAAAAGUCAAAACUCAGUUCUUUGGAAGGAAACAGAUCAUCGUUUAAGACACAGAACCUGAUGGAUGAUUCUGGACGUUAAUGCUGUGGAGUCACAAGAAAGGUGAAAACCCUUCACAACUCAUGAUCAAGGUUGUUCCCCUUGGAAGCUGUGUGACUGACAUUGUCUGUGACACGCAGGAGGAAGUGGUAGUGUCCCUCUUGGGCAAACAUUUUAAGCCAUGCCUCCUUCUGCCUGCUACUAGAAGGAAGUGCCACGAUGGAAUCUGUGAGCCUGGGUCCCAAUAUAAAGAGGUCCCAGCUGGCCUGAGAUGACAAUGCAGCCUUCAUGAGAAGGAACUGUUUCUUAUUUUCAGCCACUGAGAUUUUGGUCUUGUUUGCUACUGCAGUGAGGAGGGCAUGGCAACCCACUCCAGUACUCUUGCCUGGAGAAUCCAAUGGGCAGAGCAGCCUGGUGGGCUGCAGUCCAUAGGGUCGCACAGAGUCAGACAUGACUGAAGUGAUUUAGCUUCAGCACUGUUACUGCAGCAUGACUUCACCCACCCUGUAGCGAGGGUCAUUUGCUAACAGCCGAAACUUCAAAUGUUGAAUCUGUGAAAUGCAAAGCAAUUUAUAUUCAGAUCAUUGUUGUAACCAUUUCUUUUCCAUCUACAAAGCUUGCAGCCUUUCAUCAAGAGGAAUUUUUGCAUUUGCCUUCUUGGAAUAAAUUCCACACACAGAUAUAUUUGCAUUUUCUCCUCUGAUUUGCCUUCAGAAAGGACCCAGGAAUCCACCACGGUGAUAGUUAAUUUUACAUAUCAAACCAACUGGGUCAUGGGCUGCCCUUAUAUUUGAUUAAAUAUUAUUUCUGGGUGUGUUCUUGAGGGAGUGUCCAGAUGAGAUUUGCAUUUAAGUGGGUGAGGCGAGUAAGGCAGAUUGCUUCCCUAACAUGGAUGGGCAUCUUCUAAUCCACUGAGGACCUGAAUAGAGCAAAGAGGCGGAGGAAGGAAGGCUCUGCUCUUUAUGCCUGCUUGCCUGAGUGGAGAUGUGCAUCUUCUCCUCUCCCCCCUGGACGAGGGCUUAACCAUUGACUCCCCUGGUUCUUGGGCUUUCAGACGCAGACUAGAACUAUGUCUCUGGUUUUCCUGGGUCUCCAGCUUGCAGAUGGCAAAUCAGGGCA
rnacentral:lncRNA from 1 species